UUAUCCGGAAUUAUUGGGCGUAAGAGCUCGUAGGCGGUUUGUCGCGUCUGCCGUGAAAGUCCGGGGCUCAACUCCGGAUCUGCGGUGGGUACGGGCAGACUAGAGUGAUGUAGGGGAGACUGGAAUUCCUGGUGUAGCGGUGAAAUGCGCAGAUAUCAGGAGGAACACCGAUGGCGAAGGCAGGUCUCUGGGCAUUAACUGACGCUGAGGAGCGAAAGCAUGGGGAGCGAACAGGAUUAGAUACCCUGGUAGUCCAUGCCGUAAACGUUGGGCACUAGGUGUGGGGGACAUUCCACGUUUUCCGCGCCGUAGCUAACGCAUUAAGUGCCCCGCCUGGGGAGUACGGCCGCAAGGCUAAAACUCAAAGGAAUUGACGG
rnacentral:rRNA from 1 species